AGGUGGAGUUCGUAGAUGGUAGAGAAACGAGAAGACGCGACGUCAACAUACUAUCACCACCAUCGCCAUCUCUCCCAUCCCCAAUCGCUCAUCACCACCACCAUGGCUUCUAAGAUCUGUCUUCACCGGAGUCGCCACCACCACCGUCACGCUCGUCUCUUCUCUCUUUCUCUCGGAGAGAGUAAACCUGCUGAGUUUCUCGCCGACGUCUUGGUGGUCACAGAGAGAGAUUGUGAAGAAGAUGAUUGAAAUGAUCGACUCUUGUUUUGAUUGUGGGAAUGUGAUAUGUGCCAGAUAUGACAAGACCUUGUUUCUAGGAAAGCAGCGCCAGCAAGUGUGGACCUCCUCUAUGACAUCUCAGAUGAUGUAUGAGAACAGAGGCUUAAGUCGGAGAUGGCAGAGAAAGCUAGUGGUGGUGGUGUAGGCCUAAUGGAAGAAAGUAUGCUGCUCUCUCUAGUGCUUUGGGUACUUUACCUUGGGAAAAGCUUCAAUCUUCUGAAUUUGAGCAAUUGGCUAGUGAAUACGCGGCAUGGACACUUACCAAUGGCUAUGCACUUAACCACGUCACUAUCUCUGUCCAUCAGCUUAAAUCUCAUCCAAACAAGAAGAAGAAGAAGAGAAGAAAGAGACAGGAAGAAGAAGACGACAGAACUGCGAUGGGAGGGAGACCGCAGCUUAGAGCUUUAAGUUUUGGUUUAUUAGGCUUGGUUCAAUUUUUUUGGUUUAUUA